CUAUAAAAAGUCAAUGUUGUCGCGAUUGUCAAAGUGUCUACAAUUCUUGGAGUCACUUUAAGUAAAGUAACGAUUAGAAGCUACGAUUUUGCUGUGAACAUUCGCAUUAAAUGUUGUAAACAAUCGAGGCUACGACGUUGCGAAAAAGAGAGGUCAUUCAGUCAGAGAUGGGAAAUUUGAAAUAAAUGUACUGUUAUUUUUUUAAAAUAAGCUCUACUUUAUCACAGCUAAUUAUAAUGAGCGAUCAGAAUAUCAAAGUAGAACCAAAUGGGUUCUGUACCUUAUCUGUGGCAUAUUCUGGCACUGAAGACAAUGUAAAUAAUUUGGAUCACUCAGGGAAACAAAUAAAUGAUCUUUAUAUAAAGCGAAAUGUUUCAUCUGGAAAAUUACCACAAGAGAGUAAACCAGAAGGAAGAGUACUAGUAUUGUACACUGGAGGAACUAUUGGAAUGGUUAGAAAUAAAGAAGGAGCUCUUGUGCCAAAACCUAAUACCUUAGUUAAAAAUUUAAGAAAAUAUCCCAAUUUGCAUGACAAGCAGUAUGCAGAGGAUAGGUUUGGACCUAUGGGACCUCUAGUAUUACCAGCCACUGACAUUGAUCACAGAAGAAUUAUUUACAAUGUUCUUGAAUACGAUCCAAUAUGUGAUUCAAGCAACAUGAGGAUGGAUGAUUGGAUCUGUAUAGCACAUGACAUCAAAGAGUCGUACGAGCAUUUUGACGGUUUUGUCGUUCUUCACGGUACCGACACUAUGAGCUACACUGCGUCAGCACUGUCCUUUAUGCUGGAAGCACUUGGCAAAAUAGUGAUAUUGACAGGUUCGCAGCUACCCAUAUUUGAUAGAAGAAGUGACGGGCUUGAUAAUUUUCUGACUUCUCUGGUUAUCGCGGGGAACUACAGUAUUCCAGAGGUGUGUGUAUUUUUCGGCACGAAGCUUUUGCGCGGAAACCGUACGACAAAAUCAUCGGUCACCGCUUUCGAUGCUUUCCACUCGCCCAACGCACCACCGUUAGCAGUCACUGGCAUCGAAGUAGAUGUUGAUUACUCGUCGAUUUUUCGACCUUGCAAUUUGGAAAGGUUCGAGGUUCAUGCUCAACUCAAUGAAAAAGUAGGUUUGCUCCGAUUAUUUCCCAGUAUCACCGCCGACUUGGUAAGAGCUUUUCUGAGAGAGCCUAUCGAGGGAGUGGUGCUACAGACAUAUGGAGCUGGUAAUGUACCAUCGAAUCGACAAGAUAUUAUCGCUGAGUUCAAGUCAGCGGCUGAUCGUGGUGUCGUGAUUGUCAAUAUAACACAAUGUCCUGAGGGCAGUGUUUCAACGCUCUACGACACCGGAAAGAUUCUAUUAGAAGCUGGCGUGAUAUCGGGCUUCGACAUGACUCCCGAGGCAGCGCUGACCAAACUGGCGUACGUGCUGUCGAAAACCGAAUGGGACACAAAGACGAAGCGCAACAUGAUGGAGACGAAUUUGCGAGGUGAGCUGAGUCUCGGACGUUCAAUGAGCAUGCAAGACUGGGACCUGGUUGACGCGAUUGGUCACUCACUGCACAUCAGUUCUCCUCGGGACUUUAAAGAACUCGGCUCGAUUUUGUUUCCUGCCAUGAUGAACGCAGCCGUCCUUGCCAAGGAUACUGCCAAGCUCGAGUCCCUCAAGAGAUAUGGUGCCGAUGUGUCGCAGCCAAACGCCGACGGCAGAACCGCGUUGCACAUAGCUUGCUGCGAAGGUGAUGUUAAUAUCGUACGCCAUCUGCUCAAACUAGGAGCGAACGUGCACAUGAAGGAUCGUUUCAACCGGACUCCCCUUACCGAUGCCAUCGAGCACGAUAGAAACGAGAUAAUCAAGCUGUUGAUGCAGUGCGGAGCGCACCUGCACGAGCGCGGCCAACAGAUUGGUGCGCGUAUGUGCGCUGCCGCUGCAGCUGGUAAUCUCACACGGCUUCGAUCCUAUCAUGCCGUUGGUGCGGAUCUGUCACAGGCCGAUAUAUCUGGACGCACAGCCUUGCAUCUGGCCUGUCUUCAUGGCCACCCGCAGCUCGUGCAGUUCCUUUUGGAGAACGGCGUCGAGGCACGCUGUCGCGAUUUGCUCGGACAGUCGGCUCUCGAUAUCGCUAGCAACGAAGCCUGUCGUAAUCUCCUUGUCGAUCAUCUCGACUUCAGAACCUCGUCUUCAUCUUGAUCUGAUCUGCAACAAAGCUUUCUCGUGUUGCCGCGGCUGGUUUGCGACUUCACGCCUUCUAACUUGGUUGCUCUCUCGAGCGUGCAUAAUGAUGAUGACGAUAAUCACGAUGAUGACGACGUAUUAGAGACGCGUAGCAAAGCACUCUUACCUUUUCAUUCGGCUGUGCAACUUCUCGUCGUCGCUGUCGUCUGACUACGAGUGAAAUUCAAUGCCCGUCGCUUGUUACGUGAUCUUGCAAUGACGACUUUUCAGCUAUUUAGAAAGUUUCGUAAGUUUCUAAAGUGCUUAUAUAUAGACUUUUAUUUUUUCUUCUCAAGCAUUAAUAUAUUCAUUUUGUUUUAUUUUCGUUGAUAGAUCGUUAUGACAUACUUGUAUGUUUUGUAGGUAGAGAGUGGGAAAAAACGAGAGGGUUAUUAGCAAAACUAGAUUUGUUUAUUAAGACUGUUAUCGAAACGAAAUGACAGUGAAAGGUUCUUUAGGCUUCCAACAGUAUCGCUCGUCAUAAGCCUAUCAUUUUUAAGAUAUUGAGAAGAAUCUUCUGAUCGAAUGCACACUCGCUGAAUGCUGUUGUGCAAUCCUCAGCCGACGAAACCCGUCGACCUUUUGCUGCAGCAUCUUUUAUCACCGUGGAAUUGACUGUUUUCUUCAAUAAACUGUGACUGUGGUAUUAUUUGUAAAAUUAAUAGCGAAAACGAAUUUGAUGCGUUUGGUUAGCGAUAUGCUAGAAUUGAUCGAUAUUUAUUAGCCUACCUGGAGAAAGCAUCGACAAUGAGGUUGAAGCUGGUAGGUUCGUGGGCACGUUUGGUCGUGGCGACAGCCGAGCACACGAGGCGCCCUAUGCAAGGCGCUAAUUUGCUAUUUGUCUCGUUGAGAAUCUC